AGUUUGGCUCCUAAUACUUUUCAGAAUUGCAAUUUUCCAUUUCUCUGUUUCAAAGGAAGAGUAGGAUGCAACUUGGGUUUCAGUUUCCUCAUGGCAGUGUAUGGAAAAGACCUUUCCAAACUCUGAUCUGGCUUCUGCCCUGAGGUGAACACUGUCAGAGAGAACACAGGAUUGAUGCGUGCAGUUCUUGACAUAUGUGAAAACUGGAGCACUGGAAUAUACCCUAUCACCAGAUCCCUUUGGCAGGAGUGCCAUGCAGGAGAAACACACACUCCCUCUUCCAGAUGUACCUGGAGGGGACCCCUGCCCUGGCUGAGUCAGC